AAGAAUCUGCCCUCCACUUUGGGAUAACACCGGGAAACCGGUGCUAAUACCGAAUAUUGAAACAUAAGUGGCAUCACUGAGUUUUGAAAGAAUUUCGGUGGAGGAUGACUUCGCGGCCUAUCAGCUAGUUGGUGAGGUAAUGGCUCACCAAGGCAACGACGGGUAGCCGGCCUGAGAGGGCGACCGGCCACACUGGGACUGAGACACGGCCCAGACUCCUACGGGAGGCAGCAGUGGGGAAUAUUGGGCAAUGGAGGAAACUCUGACCCAGCGACGCCGCGUGCGGGAUGAAGGCCUUCGGGUUGUAAACCGCUUUCAGUAGGGAAGAAGCGAAAGUGACGGUACCUACAGAAGAAGCACCG
rnacentral:rRNA from 1 species